AGAGUUUGAUUCCUGGCUCAGGAUGAACGCUAGCGACAGGCUUAACACAUGCAAGUCGAGGGGCAGCGGGGGCGUAGCAAUAUGCCUGCCGGCGACCGGCGCACGGGUGAGUAACACGUAUGUAACCUGCCCUAUGCAGGGGGAUAACCCGGAGAAAUCCGGCCUAAUACCGCGUAACACCUUAGGGGAGCAUUCUCUUGAGGUUAAAGGAGAGAUCCGGCAUAGGAUGGACAUGCGUCGCAUUAGGUAGACGGCGGGGUAACGGCCCACCGUGCCGACGAUGCGUAGGGGUUCUGAGAGGAAGGCCCCCCACACUGGUACUGAGACACGGACCAGACUCCUACGGGAGGCAGCAGUGAGGAAUAUUGGUCGAUGGCCGAGAGGCUGAACCAGCCAAGUCGCGUGAGGGAAGAAUGUCCUAAGGAUUGUAAACCUCUUUUGUCGGGGAGCAAAAAGGCUCUGCGGAGUCGUAUUGAGAGUACCCGAAGAAAAAGCAUCGGCUAACUCCGUGCCAGCAGCCGCGGUAAUACGGAGGAUGCGAGCGUUAUCCGGAUUUAUUGGGUUUAAAGGGUGCGCAGGCGGCGUGUCAAGCAAGCGGUAAAAUAGCGGGGCUCAACCCCGUCGAGCCGUUUGAACUGGCGCGCUUGAGUUCAGGCGAGGUAGGCGGAAUUCGUGGUGUAGCGGUGAAAUGCAUAGAUAUCACGAAGAACUCCGAUUGCGAAGGCAGCUUACCAGUCUGCGACUGACGCUCAGGCACGAAAGUGUGGGUAUCGAACAGGAUUAGAUACCCUGGUAGUCCACACAGUAAACGAUGAGCGCUAGGUGUCCGGGUCGCAUGAGACUUGGGUGCCCGAGCGAAAGCGUUAAGCGCUCCACCUGGGGAGUACGCCGGCAACGGUGAAACUCAAAGGAAUUGACGGGGGCCCGCACAAGCGGAGGAACAUGUGGUUUAAUUCGAUGAUACGCGAGGAACCUUACCCGGGCUCAAACGACUCAGGAAUAUAUUGGAAACGAUGUAGCCAGCAAUGGUCUGAGUCGAGGUGCUGCAUGGUUGUCGUCAGCUCGUGCCGUGAGGUGUCGGCUUAAGUGCCAUAACGAGCGCAACCCCUACCGCCAGUUGCCAACGGGUAAAGCCGGGAACUCUGGCGGGACUGCCGGCGCAAGCUGCGAGGAAGGCGGGGAUGACGUCAAAUCAGCACGGCCCUUACGUCCGGGGCGACACACGUGUUACAAUGGCAGGUACAGCGGGAAGCCACCUGGUGACAGGGAGCGGAACCCGAAAGCCUGUCUCAGUUCGGAUUGGAGUCUGCAACUCGACUCCAUGAAGCUGGAUUCGCUAGUAAUCGCGCAUCAGCCAUGGCGCGGUGAAUACGUUCCCGGGCCUUGCACACACCGCCCGUCA
rnacentral:rRNA from 1 species